rnacentral:rRNA from 1 species
AGUGAACGCUGGCGGUAGGCCUAACACAUGCAAGUCGAACGGCAGCACAGUAAGAGCUUGCUCUUACGGGUGGCGAGUGGCGGACGGGUGAGGAAUACAUCGGAAUCUACUUUUUCGUGGGGGAUAACGUAGGGAAACUUACGCUAAUACCGCAUACGACCUACGGGUGAAAGCAGGGGAUCUUCGGACCUUGCGCGAUUGAAUGAGCCGAUGUCGGAUUAGCUAGUUGGCGGGGUAAAGGCCCACCAAGGCGACGAUCCGUAGCUGGUCUGAGAGGAUGAUCAGCCACACUGGAGCUGAGACACGGUCCAGACUCCUACGGGAGGCAGCAGUGGGGAAUAUUGGACAAGGGGCGCAAGCCUGAUCCAGCCAUACCGCGUGGGUGAAGAAGGCCUUCGGGUUGUAAAGCCCUUUUGUUGGGAAAGAAAAGCAGCAGGUUAAUACCCCGCUGUUCUGACGGUACCCAAAGAAUAAGCACCGGCUAACU